ensembl:lncRNA
AUAGGUCUGAGGGAUGAAAUUAGAGACUUAAAUUUAACAAGAAAAAGUGGAAGACACAAAAAAGACAAACUGUAAAUGAAUAAUUUUACAUACAAUAUAUAAAAAAAUAAAGUUUAAAGAGAUUAAAGUUUCUUUCAUAUUAAAAAAAUUAAGAAAGGUUAUUUUGUGUUGCUACUCAACAUGAAGAUAUUGCAUCAUCAAAGAAUGUAGCCAGAGUCAAAUCUCAAGGAGCAGUUCCACCUAGCACGAUUAAAUAUGAUUCAAACAUAACUCCCAAUGGAAAUGUGAUUUUUGAUUUAACUAUGUGUUCAAACUCUGUAAUAAUGUUUCUAUGUGGCAUGAAAUUUUGAAAGUUUCUGCAACUGCUGGGAUUUUACCAGCAAAGGAGUUUGGUAAGGAAACAAGAAGCUUUGUGUAUCUCGAUUACUAAUAGCUGCGUUUAGAGUUUUAAAUAUUUAAUGAGAGGAAUCUGCAGAAAAAAGACAAGAUGCCUGCAUUCAUCAUACCGCAGGAGCUGCUUGGGGACAUUCGCAAAGGGCUUUUCAUCAAGGACUUGGGCCGAUCUCAUGAGGUUCAGCCAAAUGCGCCAUGACUGACAGAGGCACACACAGUUCUUGAUACCACAGCUUUCAGACGAGGAGCACAAAGCUCAUCUCCCCAGAGAGGAGAGAGAAGUGCUCUAUGGCCUGUGAUAUUGCUGUGUCUUUGAUCUCAAAGCAAUGCAGGGUGAAUUAAACAGCAGGCAAACUAUGUGGGAUGAAAGCAAAAAAGUUUUCGCAUUUGCAAAAGCUCCUCCUAUUUAUAUCGUUAUGUUUCAGAACUCUAAUGCAUUUCAUAAAGGCUGGUCAAAGCAAUCAGACUGCGGGGUCCAAAAUUCUGAGAGAACAUUGAAAAUCUGGGAUUUUGUAUCUAAUUCAAACCUGGGAAUAAUCGGAAAGCUUUAUGAUUUUUACAAAACAAUUGAACAUUACUGUGUAAAAGACAUAAGAAAUAUUAAAUACUGUGCACUAAUAUGUCUACAGGUAGGUCAGUAAACUAAUGAAACUCAAGAUGUUCUUCUGUUCAGUCUGUUCAAUCUGUGCCUUCAUAAAAUAUUUUUUGUCAUGAUGAUCGUUGGAAUGAUAAGCCUAAAUUACUAAAUAACAUUUUUAUUUUUAUUUUUU